UACGUAGGGUGCGAGCGUUAAUCGGAAUUACUGGGCGUAAAGCGUGCGCAGGCGGUGAGCUGUGUCCGAUGUGAAAGCCCCGGGCUUAACCUGGGAAUGGCAUUGGAAACUGGCUCGCUGGAGUGUGGCAGAGGGGGGUGGAAUUCCGAGUGUAGAGGUGAAAUUCGUAGAUAUUCGGAAGAACACCAGUGGCGAAGGCGACUCACUGGACACAUAUUGACGCUGAGGUGCGAAAGCGUGGGGAGCAAACAGG
rnacentral:rRNA from 1 species